GGCAGUCGUAGAUCAGUGGUUAAGCUCUUGGAUUACUGAUCGGAAGGUCAUGAGUUCAAAUCUCUCUGCCA